CUACGGAGGGUGCAAGCGUUAUCCGGAUUUAUUGGGUUUAAAGGGUGCGCAGGCGGACCUGUCAGUCAGUGGUGAAAUCCCGGGGCUCAACCCCGGAACUGCCAUUGAUACUACAGGUCUUGAAUACGGUUGAAGUAGGCGGAAUGUAGCAUGUAGCGGUGAAAUACAUAGAUAUGCUACAGAACACCGAUCGCGAAGGCAGCUUACUAAGCCGAUAUUGACGCUCAGGCACGAAAGCGUGGGGAGCGAACAGGAUUAGAAACCCCGGUAGUCC
rnacentral:rRNA from 1 species